AUUGAACGCUGGCGGCAGGCCUAACACAUGCAAGUCGAGCGGAUGACGGGAGCUUGCUCCUUGAUUCAGCGGCGGACGGGUGAGUAAUGCCUAGGAAUCUGCCUGGUAGUGGGGGACAACGUUUCGAAAGGAACGCUAAUACCGCAUACGUCCUACGGGAGAAAGCAGGGGACCUUCGGGCCUUGCGCUAUCAGAUGAGCCUAGGUCGGAUUAGCUAGUAGGUGAGGUAAUGGCUCACCUAGGCGACGAUCCGUAACUGGUCUGAGAGGAUGAUCAGUCACACUGGAACUGAGACACGGUCCAGACUCCUACGGGAGGCAGCAGUGGGGAAUAUUGGAAAAUGGGCGAAAGCCUGAUCCAGACAUGCCGCGUGUGUGAAGAAGGUCUUCGGAUUGUAAAGCACUUUAAGUUGGGAGGAAGGGCAGUAAGCUAAUACCUUGCUGUUUUGACGUUACCGACAGAAUAAGCACCGGCUAACUCUGUGCCAGCAGCCGCAGUAAUAC
rnacentral:rRNA from 1 species